GAGUCCGAGCCGCCGCCGCCGCCAUGAGCUGCCCCGUCCCCGCCUGCUGCGCGCUGCUGCUAGUCCUGGGGCUCUGCCGGGCGCGUCCCCGGAACGCACUGCUGCUCCUCGCGGAUGACGGAGGCUUUGAGAGUGGCGCGUACAACAACAGCGCCGUCGCCACCCCGCACCUGGACGCCCUGGCCCGCCGCAGCCUCCUCUUCCGCAAUGCCUUCACCUCGGUCAGCAGCUGCUCUCCCAGCCGUGCCAGCCUCCUCACUGGCCUGCCCCAGCAUCAGAAUGGGAUGUACGGGCUGCACCAGGACGUGCACCACUUCAACUCCUUCGACAAGGUGCGGAGCCUGCCGCUGCUGCUCAGCCAAGCUGGUGUGCGCACAGGUGAGGACCCCGUGCCAAGGACGGCGUGGGGUGAGGCACAGAGGCCAGGCCAGAGCCCAGGAGGUUCGGCACCUUGUACCAAGGCACCCUCAGCCCCCGUGGCCUGCCCUUAGCUCUUGUCCCAAAGGAUCUGGGCCUGGGUCUCCUGGCUGGGCUGUGUGUCCACGAGAACCCAC
rnacentral:sRNA from 1 species